CCUACGGGGGUCUGCAGUGGGGAAUAUUGCACAAUGGGGGAAACCCUGAUGCAGCGACGCCGCGUGAGUGAGGAAGUAUUUCGGUAUGUAAAGCUCUAUCAGCAGGGAAGAAAAUGACGGUACCUGACUAAGAAGCCCCGGCUAACUACGUGCCAGCAGCCGCGGUAAGACGGAGGGGGCAAGCGUUCUCCGGAGUUACUGGUUGUAAAGUGAGCGUAGACGGUUAAUCAAGUCAGAAGUGAAAACCCAGGGCUCAACCUGGGGACUGCCUUUGAAACUGAGGAGCUAGAGUGCAUGAGAGGUAAGCGGAAUUCCUAGUGUAGGGGUGAAAUGCGUAGAUAUUAGGAGGAACACCAGUGGCGAAGGCGACUUACUGGAAUGUAACUGACGUUGAGGAGCGAAAGCGUGGGGAGCAAACAGGAUUAGAUACCCCUGUAGUC
rnacentral:rRNA from 1 species